CUACGGGGGGCAGCAGUAAGGAAUAUUGCGCAAUGGAGGCAACUCUGACGCAGCCAUGCCGCGUGCAGGAAGAAGGCCUUAUGGGCCGUAAACUGCUUUUAUUUAGGAAUAAACCCCCGAACGUGUUCGGGGCUGAAGGUACUAAACGAAUAAGCACCGGCUAACUCCGGGCCAGCAGCCGCGGUAAUACGGAGGGUGCAGGCGUUAUCCGGAUUUAUUGGGUUUAAAGGGUGCGCAGGCGGGCUAUUAAGUCAGUGGUGAAAUCCCGGGGCUCAACUCCGGAACUGCCAUUGAUACUGAUAGUCUUGAGUUUGGUUGAAGUGGGCGGAAUGUAGCAUGUAGCGGUGAAAUGCAUAGAUAUGCUACAGAACACCAAUCGCGAAGGCAGCUCACUAAGCCAAAACUGACGCUCAUGCACGAAAGCGUGGGGAUCAAACAGGAUUAGAUACCCGUGUAGUC
rnacentral:rRNA from 1 species